AACGUAUGUCGAGCAAACAUUGCAUGAGUCAUCAUGACAUGGCAAGUUUGUCGCCAUACUUC
ensembl:miRNA cin-mir-4010 cin-mir-4010